CAAGCUAUUUGUCAAUGUUUGAAGGCUCCUCCACAACCACAGCCUGUAUGCUGUGAAGUGGGUCUUUGGUGAUCAUUCUUUUUCACUGAAGGCCUCUGUCUUCCAGGCGAAGACUUUGUUUGUACUCCCCAAAGGUUCCAUCUAUAAUAAUUGUGUUACCCUACCUGCCAGUGGCCAUUUCUCAAUUAUUCCAACUCAAGUAUUUGUGGUUUCCUGGAGGAGCAUGUUUCCCAUUUCUUCCCAUACACAGAUGUUUGGUUAACAAAUGCCUGUGGUUUAUUUCCUCUGCCCCAGAAUAUCAAGAGGCCAUAGAUCAGAGCAGAAAAUGAUAAUUCAAAGCCUGAGCCUGGCAUUGUUUGAAGAAUUUGUCAGUCUGGAGAGAUGCUUUAGAAUUCAGUGGCUUUUCCAAGGGAUUUCUUUGGCCUAUGCAGAUUGCAAUUCAUUUAAGAUCACUCCAGGAAGCUUUGCAGAUUUACCUAUCAGGCCACCCAGAGGACAGUGUUCAAGUCUUGAAGAGACCUGUUGGGAUAAACACAUUCACGAUAAUAGCAUGGGGACAGGACAAAAGCCACAUCAUUGUGAAAAUGCCUUCAACCUGAAACAUUCUGAUGGAACUAUGCAGGAACAAUGGACACAAACUGCCUAAUGUGAACAGGUGCUCCCAAAGACAGAGUGUGCUUCUUCUUCAACUCUGUAUCCUCCACAACUUGCCCACUUGUGGCAUGAGAAAUGUUUGUGAAAGAAUGAAUCAGGCAAUGCAAAUGUGCAUUGCUGCUUCCUGGAGCCUUGCAGCUGUCACCUGGACCUUCUUCUUACAACCUAUAGGUGGCAAUGGGAAGUUUCUCUCCGAUGCUUUGCUUUUCUUCAGAUCUGAUGGCAAUGACAGAUCAUUCAGAAGCAUGCUGUGCUUGAAAUGAAACCAAUGCAGCAACAGUGCAGAGUGGAAGAGUAACUGGUCGACCACAACGUUCUCUUGAUUCCCAGUAAGAAAUAUACUUUCCCUCUGAGAAGUCCAUCAAUUAAUAUUAACAAGGAGAAAGAGAAGGAAUAACUUUAGCAGGAAACAUUGACUCUCCCCCGGAUUCGAUUCAAGAGAUCAUCAAGGAAGGAGUCUGACUGUAACAUAUCCCUCUCUUCCUCUGAUGAGAGUGACAACCAGGGUGACUGGAACCAGAGGGCAGCCUACUCUCCUUUGGCAAACAAACACCCACUCUGAGCCAGAUGGCAUGCAGUACUUCUGAAGUUAAAUCCAGCCUUAUGACAAUGGUCAUGGCCAAUAAGGAACCACUUGGACUGAGAUGCCAAAAAUUCAGCUCUUGAUCCUGAGACCUGAUGCUGCAGAACCUAUGGGUGAAGAUACACCAGUUAAUUUAAGGUAUUACACAAAACCUCUUUAAACAUAAGGACAUUUUUCUUUUAUUUGACAUAAUAUUCUGCUUGCUAAAUAAUUUUACAAUUUUAUGAUAGUUAAGAAAUUUAAUGGCCACUGAAUCCAGGCUUCUUUCCUUUGUAUUUUUUAAAAAUCAAAGUGGAAUACUAAUUGAAAAAUAUUAAUUUUUAUUGUUAAGAGAAAAUAUUCAAUUGUAUAAGUAAAAUGUCCAAACAUAGGCUUGCCA